GUUUUAUUAGUAUAAUGAAGUAUAUUUGUUUUCCAGACAAAAGGUUUAAGUAAUAUGUAAAUAAAAUA
rnacentral:tRNA from 1 species